UACGGAGGGUGCAAGCGUUAUCCGGAUUCACUGGGUUUAAAGGGUGCGUAGGUGGGCAGGUAAGUCAGUGGUGAAAUCUCCGAGCUUAACUCGGAAACUGCCGUUGAUACUAUUUGUCUUGAAUAUUGUGGAGGUAAGCGGAAUAUGUCAUGUAGCGGUGAAAUGCUUAGAUAUGACAUAGGACACCAAUUGCGAAGGCAGCUUACUACACAACGAUUGACGCUGAGGCACGAAAGCGUGGGGAUCAAACAGG
rnacentral:rRNA from 1 species